ACACUGGAACUGAGACACGGUCCAGACUCCUACGGGAGGCAGCAGUAGGGAAUCUUCCGCAAUGGGCGAAAGCCUGACGGAGCAAC
rnacentral:tRNA from 1 species